rnacentral:rRNA from 2 species
GGCGGCGUGCUAAUACAUGCAAGUCGAACGAGUUCUCGUUGAUGAUCGGUGCUUGCACCGAGAUUCAACAUGGAACGAGUGGCGGACGGGUGAGUAACACGUGGGUAACCUGCCCUUAAGUGGGGGAUAACAUUUGGAAACAGAUGCUAAUACCGCAUAGAUCCAAGAACCGCAUGGUUCUUGGCUGAAAGAUGGCGUAAGCUAUCGCUUUUGGAUGGACCCGCGGCGUAUUAGCUAGUUGGUGAGGUAAUGGCUCACCAAGGCGAUGAUACGUAGCCGAACUGAGAGGUUGAUCGGCCACAUUGGGACUGAGACACGGCCCAAACUCCUACGGGAGGCAGCAGUAGGGAAUCUUCCACAAUGGACGCAAGUCUGAUGGAGCAACGCCGCGUGAGUGAAGAAGGCUUUCGGGUCGUAAAACUCUGUUGUUGGAGAAGAAUGGUCGGCAGAGUAACUGUUGUCGGCGUGACGGUAUCCAACCAGAAAGCCACGGCUAACUACGUGCCAGCAGCCGCGGUAAUACGUAGGUGGCAAGCGUUAUCCGGAUUUAUUGGGCGUAAAGCGAGCGCAGGCGGUUUUUUAAGUCUGAUGUGAAAGCCCUCGGCUUAACCGAGGAAGCGCAUCGGAAACUGGGAAACUUGAGUGCAGAAGAGGACAGUGGAACUCCAUGUGUAGCGGUGAAAUGCGUAGAUAUAUGGAAGAACACCAGUGGCGAAGGCGGCUGUCUGGUCUGUAACUGACGCUGAGGCUCGAAAGCAUGGGUAGCGAACAGGAUUAGAUACCCUGGUAGUCCAUGCCGUAAACGAUGAAUGCUAGGUGUUGGAGGGUUUCCGCCCUUCAGUGCCGCAGCUAACGCAUUAAGCAUUCCGCCUGGGGAGUACGACCGCAAGGUUGAAACUCAAAGGAAUUGACGGGGGCCCGCACAAGCGGUGGAGCAUGUGGUUUAAUUCGAAGCAACGCGAAGAACCUUACCAGGUCUUGACAUCUUUUGAUCACCUGAGAGAUCAGGUUUCCCCUUCGGGGGCAAAAUGACAGGUGGUGCAUGGUUGUCGUCAGCUCGUGUCGUGAGAUGUUGGGUUAAGUCCCGCAACGAGCGCAACCCUUAUGACUAGUUGCCAGCAUUUAGUUGGGCACUCUAGUAAGACUGCCGGUGACAAACCGGAGGAAGGUGGGGAUGACGUCAAAUCAUCAUGCCCCUUAUGACCUGGGCUACACACGUGCUACAAUGGAUGGUACAACGAGUUGCGAGACCGCGAGGUCAAGCUAAUCUCUUAAAGCCAUUCUCAGUUCGGACUGUAGGCUGCAACUCGCCUACACGAAGUCGGAAUCGCUAGUAAUCGCGGAUCAGCACGCCGCGGUGAAUACGUUCCCGGGCCUUGUACACACCGCCCGUCACACCAUGAGAGUUUGUAACACCCGAAGCCGGUGGCGUAACCCUUUUAGGGAGCGAGCCGUCUAA